rnacentral:rRNA from 1 species
GAUGAACGCUGGCGGCGUGCUUAACACAUGCAAGUCGAACGGAAAGGCCAGUGCUUGCACUGGUACUCGAGUGGCGAACGGGUGAGUAACACGUGGAUAACCUACCUAUAAGACUGGGAUAACUUCGGGAAACCGGAGCUAAUACCGGAUAACAUGUUGAACCGCAUGGUUCAACAGUGAAAGACGGUCUUGCUGUCACUUAUAGAUGGAUCCGCGCCGCAUUAGCUAGUUGGUAAGGUAACGGCUUACCAAGGCAACGAUGCGUAGCCGACCUGAGAGGGUGAUCGGCCACACUGGAACUGAGACACGGUCCAGACUCCUACGGGAGGCAGCAGUAGGGAAUCUUCCGCAAUGGGCGAAAGCCUGACGGAGCAACGCCGCGUGAGUGAAGAAGGUCUUCGGAUCGUAAAACUCUGUUAUUAGGGAAGAACAAAUGUGUAAGUAACUAUGCACGUCUUGACGGUACCUAAUCAGAAAGCCACGGCUAACUACGUG